rnacentral:rRNA from 1 species
ACGACUACAUAUCAGGCAUAUCAAUAAGCGGAGGAAAAGAAAAAAUAAUGGAACAACAAGCAAUUUCCCUAUACGAACUCAACGGACUGGUGAAACGAAGCAUCCGUUCCUGCUUGCCCGAUACCUAUUGGGUACAGGCGGAGCUGAGUGAUGUCCGGACUAACUAUUCGGGGCAUUGCUAUCUGGAAUUCGUGCAGAAGGAUGCAGGCGGUAACAAUCUCAUCGCCAAGGCGAGAGGAACCGUCUGGAGCAACAUCUUCAAGAUGCUGAAGCCUUACUUUGAGCAGGAGACGGGGCAGUCGUUUACCUCCGGCAUCAAGGUGUUGGUGGAAGUGUCGGUGGAGUUUCACGAACUCUAUGGCUAUUCGCUCACUGUGCUCGACAUCGAUCCCACUUAUACGGUGGGCGACAUGGAGAGGAAGCGUCGGGAAAUACUCCGGCAAUUGGAAGAAGAGGGGGUGAUUGACUUGAACAAGGAGCUGGAGAUGCCGAUGUUGCCCCAACGGGUGGCGGUGAUUUCCUCGGCUACGGCGGCCGGCUACGGCGACUUCUGCAAUCAGUUGGCGAACAAUCCCCGGGGAUAUGGUUUCCGCACCGAACCCUUUCCUGCUAUCAUGCAAGGCGAGAGGGUGGAGGAGAGUGUCAUUGCCGCCCUCGAUACCAUUUACGAACGAAUGGAGGAGUUCGAUGUGGUGGUGAUUAUUCGUGGAGGAGGGGCGACCUCUGAUUUGUCGGGUUUCGAUACCUACGCUUAGGAUGUUGACACACGCGCGUGCUCG